AUUGAACGCUGGCGGCAUGCUUUACACAUGCAAGUCGAACGGCAGCGCGGGCUUCGGCCUGGCGGCGAGUGGCGAACGGGUGAGUAAUACAUCGGAACGUGCCCAGUAGUGGGGGAUAGCUCGGCGAAAGCCGGAUUAAUACCGCAUACGACCUGAGGGUGAAAGCGGGGGAUCUUCGGACCUCGCGCUAUUGGAGCGGCCGAUGGCAGAUUAGGUAGUUGGUGGGGUAAAGGCCUACCAAGGCGACGAUCUGUAGCUGGUCUGAGAGGACGACCAGCCACACUGGGACUGAGACACGGCCCAGACUCCUACGGGAGGCAGCAGUGGGGAAUUUUGGACAAUGGGCGAAAGCCUGAUCCAGCAAUGCCGCGUGUAUGAUGAAGGCCUUCGGGUUGUAAAGCACUUUUGGCGGGAACGAAAAGGACUGUGCCAAUACCACGGUUCGAUGACGGUACCCGCAGAAUAAGCACCGGCUAACUACGUG
rnacentral:rRNA from 1 species